GCAGGCGUAGCUCAAAGGCAGAGUAGCGGGUUGUGAUUCCGUUGGUUGUGGGUUCAAAUCCCAUCGCCUGCCCCA
rnacentral:tRNA from 1 species